GCAGGCAUCUUCUCAGCCUACA
rnacentral:ncRNA from 2 species